AAUAUACUCUCUCCGUCUCAAAAUUCUUGUCUUAGAUUUGUCUAGAUAUGAAUGUAUCUAGUCACGUUUUAGUAUUUUGAUAGAUUCAUUUUUAGACAAACCUAAGAAAAGAAUUUUGGGAAAUGGAGGGAGUAGAAU
rnacentral:pre_miRNA from 1 species